UUUCCGUAGGUGAACCUGCGGAAGGAUCAUUAUCGAGUUACGAUCUCUGGCCCGCCUUCCAACACUCUAUCUACUAUACCAUGUGGCUUUGGCGGGCCCGCUUUUGUCGCCGCCGAUGGGUUGACCCCCCUGGGCUAGGGCCCGCCGAUAGCCCCCUCUUUAACUCUUGAUCAACAGUGAAUGUCUGAGUAAAAGAAAAAUCAAGCACAAAACUUUCAACAACGGAUCUCUUGGUUCUG
rnacentral:misc_RNA from 1 species